UGUGGUACUACUCAUAAUCAGAGUCAACAAAUAGCAGUGUAAUGUGUCUGUCAAGAACAAAGGAAUCCAUAAAUAAGAAUGGAAACGUUUCAGAGGACAGGAUCCCGAUAGUGAUAUCUUGGUCUGGGACUUUGUUGGGCAUGUCAAAAAUGGCACAGAGACCCUUAGAAGUCGUGGUAGGGUCAAAAUGUGAUCAUAAUCAUAAUAGAAAGGAAUUGAGGAAGGUAAUUAACCAAUUGGUUGUUGCAGGCUAGCUGCUAUCCCUUGUCCCUCGCUGCAAAUGUGCCACGUAGUACAAGACUAUGUGGAGAAAACCUUUUAGUAACAACCAAGUUUUAAUCUAAAAAAUCAAGGUUUGAAAAAAUGUCAAAUUUACUAGUAGGAAAAUUAUUUUGUGGUGGAAUUUGGGGACCAGUAAUAUCCAUUACAAUCGAAUUGCC
rnacentral:lncRNA from 1 species